AUUAAAGUUGUUGCGGUUAAAAAGCUCGUAGUUGGAUUUCUGUGGUAGGCAGCCGGUCCGCACUAUGUGCGAGUAUCUGGUUCGGCUACUGCAUCCUCCUGAAGAACGUUGGUGCGCUUCACUGCGAGGCACGGUAUUCAGGACUUUUACUUUGAGGAAAUUAGAGUGUUCACGGCAGGCGCUUGCCCUGAAUAUAUUAGCAUGGAAUAAUGAUAUAGGAUCCAGGUCCUAUUUUGUUGGUUUCUAGGACCAGGAUAAUGGUUAAUAGGGAUAAUUGGGGGCACUCGUAUCAUGACGUCAGAGGUGGAAUUCUUGGAUUGUCAUGCGACGAACUACUGCGAAAGCAUUUGCCAAGGAUGUUUUCAUUGAUCAAGAACGAAAGUAAGGGGAUCGAAGACGAUUAGAUACCGUCGUAGUCUUUACCAUAAACUAUGCCAACUAGAGAUUGGAGGUCGUUCUUUGUAUGACUCCUUCAGCACCUUAUGAGAAAUCAAAGUUUUUGGGUUCCGGGGGGAGUAUGGUCGCAAGGCUGGAACUUAAAG
rnacentral:rRNA from 1 species